rnacentral:rRNA from 1 species
AGAGUUUGAUCAUGGCUCAGAUUGAACGCUGGCGGCAGGCCUAACACAUGCAAGUCGAACGGUAACGUGAAAUGCUUGCACUUCGCUGACGAGUGGCGGACGGGUGAGUAAUGCUUGGGAACUUGCCUUUGCGAGGGGGAUAACAGUCGGAAACGACUGCUAAUACCGCAUAACUUCUACGGACCAAACGGGGCUUAGGCUCCGGCGCAAAGAGAGGCCCAAGUGAGAUUAGCUUGUUGGUAAGGUAAAGGCUUACCAACGCAACGAUCUCUAGCUGUUCUGAGAGGAAGAUCAGCCACACUGGAGCUGAGACACGGUCCAGACUCCUACGGGAGGCAGCAGUGGGGAAUAUUGCACAAUGGGGG